AGAGGAGCUUGCUCUUCUUGGAUGAGUUGCGAACGGGUGAGUAACGCGUAGGUAACCUGCCUUGUAGCGGGUGAUAACUAUUGGAAACGAUAGCUAAUACCGCAUAACAAUGGGUGACACAUGUCAUUUAUUUGAAAGGGGCAAUUGCUCCACUACAAGAUGGACCUGCGUUGUAUUAGCUAGUAGGUGAGGUAACGGCUCACCUAGGCGACGAUACAUAGCCGACCUGAGAGGGUGAUCGGCCACACUGGGACUGAGACACGGCCCAGACUCCUACGGGAGGCAGCAGUAGGGAAUCUUCGGCAAUGGGGGCAACCCUGACCGAGCAACGCCGCGUGAGUGAAGAAGGUUUUCGGAUCGUAAAGCUCUGUUGUAAGUCAAGAACGAGUGUGAGAGUGGAAAGUUCACACUGUGACGGUAGCUUACCAGAAAGGGACGGCUAACUACGUGCCAGCAGCCGCGGUAAUACGUAGGUCCCGAGCGUUGUCCGGAUUUAUUGGGCGUAAAGCGAGCGCAGGCGGUUUGAUAAGUCUGAAGUUAAAGGCUGUGGCUCAACCAUAGUUCGCUUUGGAAACUGUCAAACUUGAGUGCAGAAGGGGAGAGUGGAAUUCCAUGUGUAGCGGUGAAAUGCGUAGAUAUAUGGAGGAACACCGGUGGCGA
rnacentral:rRNA from 1 species